UGUAGAUCAAUGGCCAACGCUAAUGUCAACAUGAACUUCAACGCGUUCCUAGAGAAAACCAAGCUGAAAGAUGAUGGCAGCAACUAUACGGACUGGGUCCGGAACCUGAGGAUCAUCCUCAUAGCUGCCAGGAAACAAUAUGUCCUAGAAGGACCGCUAGGUGACGCUCCCGUCCCAGAGAACCAAGACAUUAUGAAUGCUUGGCAGUCUCGUGCUGAUGAUUACUCCCUCGUUCAGUGCGGCAUGCUUUACAGCUUAGAACCGGGGCUCCAAAAGCGUUUUGAGCACCACGGAGCAUAUGAGAUGUUCGAAGAGCUGAAACUGGUUUUUCAAGCUCAUGCCCGGGUCGAGAGAUAUGAUGUCUCCGACAAGUUCUACAGUUGUAAGAUGGAGGAAAACAGUUCUGUCAGUGAGCACAUCCUAAAGAUGUCUGGGUUGCACAACCGUAUGACCCAGCUGAACAUUAACCUCCCAGAUGAGGCGGUCAUUGACAGAAUCCUCCAGUCGCUCCCACCAAGCUACAAGAGCUUUGUGAUGAACUACAACAUGCAGGGGAUGGAAAAGACCAUUCCUGAAGUGUUCUCGAUGCUGAAGUCAGCAGAGGCUGAAAUCAAGAAAGAACAUCAA
rnacentral:rRNA from 1 species